AAAAAAAAAAAAAAAAAAAAAAAAAAAAGUGCUAAAUUGAUCCGGGCAGCGGUUCCCACUCCUUCAGCAGUUUCUUGAGACUGUUUACCGCUACCCCUGGGUUAGGCCAGAUAUUCCGGAAGAUCAUAUCGUUCCUGGCCUUCCAGAUAAUCCACCAACACCCUACUAGGUCAAUGAGACCGGAGUGCUUGUUCAGGUGUGUGUUUUUCUCCGUCCACCUGUCCCAAACUAGGUUCACAUCGACCCCUAGGUCACGAGCUUGGAUGUCUUCCACCCCUGUCACCAAUACAAACUUACCAAAUACACACCUGGUGAAUAGAUGUUCCGCUGAUUCAACCUCCACCCCACAAAGCACACAGGUUGGAUCCUGAAUCCACCCUCGCUUGACAAGCCUAUCUCUUGUGAGGAUCCUUUUCUUGAGAAGCAGCCACACGAAAACUUUAACUUUCAGCGGGAUUGUGAGACUCCAAAUACGUGUGGCUCGUUCAUCUCUCGUGCCGCCGUCCGACAAAGCCGAAUAGGUGGAUUUGACCGAGAAUUUGCCAUUGGGGCUCCAUCUCCAAAGUAACCUAUCAGAUCCCUGCUCGACGGAGAAGCUAGAUACCGUUUGCAUUAAUUCCGAGAUGCCUGGUACCCACCCAAGAGCUUGUCCCACCUCGCUUCCCAGGAUCUUGGACCAGUUCCAAUUUUCCCCUGUAAGGCAUUCGCUUACUCUAAGAUUUUUCCCCACCGACCCUUGGUAAGCUUCCGGGAACGUCCGGUUCAACGUUUUCUCUCCACACCACCGAUCUUGCCAGAAAUCGAUGCUACUCCCGUUACCCAGAGAAAACGCCGUCCCCCAUUUAAAGAUGGUAGAUACCGAAAGGCAACCUUUCCACCAGCUAGAGAAUGGCCUAAAGGAUGUACCUUCCCUGAGGGGUAUCCUUCUGCGAUAGUACAGAUCGCGUGUUAGCUUAUUCCACAGUAGUUCAGGUUCAGUGUGGAAUUUCCACCACCACUUGGUCAGAAGGGUCUGAUUCAUGAUCUCCAUGUCCAAGAUCCCUAACCCACCUUCUUUCUUGGACCUGCAGACGUUUUUCCAAGCCACCAAACAACCCAUGCCAACCUUGUUGCGACUACCGCACCAGAAAAAAUCUCUUCUAAUGGCUUCAAUCUGCUUAAUCACCCAAGCGGGUGCCUUAAAGACAGAUAAAAAAUAUAGGGGUAUGCUGGUUAACACUGCAUUAACCAGGAUGAGUCUCCCUCCCCUAGAAAGAAGUUUAGCUUGCCAGCCCUCAAUUUUACGCUGAAUCUUCUGAAUGAUUCCAGUCCACACUUCCUUGGACGGUGGGUUAGGGGAGAGAGGUAAGCCCAAAUAUAAGGCCGGGAGGGUGCCGACUCUACACCCGAGAGUAUUAGCUAACCUCGUUCCUUUGCCUUCCUCCUGCCCCAGGUAGUAGAGCUCCGACUUCUCCCUAUUGAUUUUCAUACCGGAUGCCCAUUCGAAAAGCCUCCAUAGAAACCUCAGGUUUUUCAUGAACCUGUUUCUAGCCGUGCAGAAGAAAAAGGUAUCGUCCGCAAACUGGAUGAGAGUGACCUUACAAGCCCCAGACGGACCAAUUCCCUUGAUGAAAUUAUUAGUGGUUGCCUCUUUGGUCAUUCGUGCCAAACAUUCCGCCACCAAAAGAAAGAGGAAUGGCGAGAGUGGGUCCCCCUGUCUUACACCUCUCCUCGUCUUAAUCCACUUGGUCGGUUCGCCGUUCACAAGGAUCGCCACUUUUGCAUCACACACACAUGUUUCUAUCCAACCGCACCAAGUAUCAUUGAAUCCCCACCAUCGUAAUAUUUGAAAAAGGAAUGGCCACAAAAUCCUAUCAUAGGCCUUCUCAAAGUCCACCUUAACCCCCACGCCGUCAACCGCCUUUUUAAUCCCCCAACUAACAAGCUCGGAAACAGAGGCAAAUGCAUCGGUAAUGUUCCUGCCUUUCAAGAAGGCAGAUUGGGUCGGGGAUAUCAAGCCCUUCAUGACUUGCUCCAAUCUGUUGGCCAAGACCUUAGAUAUUAUUUUUUGAAUCCCGUUCAACAGACUUAUAGGUCGAAAAUCAUUAGCCUGGGUGGCCCCCUCCUUCUUCGGAAUAAGAGUAAUGAAGGUAUAAUCGAUAGCGGCGGAGGAAUGACUCCCCUCGUGCAGUUCCUUAAAAACGCUCAAUAAAUCCUCCUUGACCGUGUCCCAGAACGUUUGGUAGAAGUUAAGUGGAAAGCCGUCCGGUCCUGGUGCCUUGUCACCCCCCAACUGGAACACUGCUUCCUUGAUUUCUUGUAAGUUAAACGGCUCUGUCAACCUCGAGAGAUUGGUAUCUGUUACUCGGUCGGAUAUGAAUAGCCUGGUCCAAUCCCCAAAGGAAGUCGGAUUUGACGCGUCGGGAGUGAAGAUUGACUUAAAGGAACGGUAGAAGUAGUGUCGCUUAUCCUCUUCAGAUUGGUAGCUGAUACUAUUAUCUUCCAUCGUGCCGAUCCAGUUAGCUCUACGCCUACCAUUUGCGACCGAGUGAAAGAAUUUAGUGUUACCGUCCCCCUCACGAAGCCAAUGUUGUUUGGCCCGAGUUUUCCAUAGAGAGGUCUCGUCACUCAAAACCCUCGUCAACUCAUCCUUUAGAGCCGCUCUCUUAUUUCUAUACUCAGGCUCCAGAUUGUCCGCUUCUUCUGCUUCGUCUAUUCUCUGUAUUUCGUCCAUCAGUCUCGUCUUAGCUUUUCUGAUGCUGUAGAACACAUUAGUGCACCAUUCUUUGAUCCUCACCCGGCAAUGUCUCAACUUUGCGGUGAACGAUAAAAUCGCCGAUUUCCCUUGGUUGCCUAGGGACCCCUCCCUCCACCACACCGGCACUUUCUUUAUGAAAUCUUCGUGCUUCAGCCACGCUUCCUCGAACCGAAAAAUCUUGUUCCUCCCCCUGGCACCUACCCCAGUCGUUAAUACGAUAGGACAAUGGUCCGAUGUAAUUCUGGGUAGCGCUUCAACCUUCGAAAGGGGAAAUUCCCUGUCCCAAUCGGUUGACAGUAGGAACCGAUCAAGUCUCGCUAAAGUUGGGGUGUCUUGCAUAUUUGACCAAGUGAAGGCUUGAUUAGUCAUCGGUGGGUCGAUCAUAGCAAGAUCGUUGAUCAGCCCGUUGAAUAAGUUCGUGGCUUUUCUACUCCAUCGUUUACCCCUUCGUUCCUCUUGACUUCUUGUACAAUUGAAGUCACCGCAGAUAAUCCAUUUGCCCACACAAAGCUCCUUUAGAUGGGAUAAUUCAGCAAUAAACUCUUCCUUGCCGUUCCACGAGGCGGGUCCAUAGACGUUAGUCAGAUAGAAUUUAGCCCCACACGAGUUGGAAUGCAGGAGGGUAGUAAUGGAGUAGGUCCUCACGAUGACUUCAAGGCAGGAGAAGAAACGGGAGCUCCAAUCUGUGAUAAUACCUCCAGAAGAAAUUUAUGUUACUUACAAAAAAUACAUGGGAAGUUGUCGAGUUGUAACAAAACUAAGAUGUCUUUUUGGAAUCAAAACGUAAAAGGAUGGAGUAUUUGUCUUUGGUUGGUAUUGUUGCCCUUGAAUUUCUAUAUUACAAAUAAAAUUUGAUACGCCUUUAAGAAGAACUUAGGCCUCAUUUGCCAUUGUUGUCUUUCUUUUCUUUUUCUUUUUUUUGUAACAUGGGUUUUAUAUAAUUUGAAGCAUUAGAGAAAUUUUUUUUACUAUUAUUAUAUGUGCUUAGCUUAUAAUGUAUCCUACUAAAUAAUAAAUGAUAAUUUAUCUUAAAAAUUAAGAAAAAAAUAUCUUUUUUUUUUUCUCGAGCAGGUAUUUUGAAUGAAAGGAUUGUAGAUUUUUUUUUUUUGAAAGUAGCAUGCUACCGUCUCAUUCAAUAAGAAUAUGAACUGAGCCACAAACUAAGACAAUUGGGCCUCCAAGAAUGAACGAAAAAAACAUGCUACCACUUCUAUCUCACAUACAUCAACGAAAAAAAACAUGCUACCACUUCUAUCCGCACUCCAACCCCUUUUUCAAAGGUUCUCCACUGUGAGCACCUCUCUUUGUAGUACUAGCCAUAUAAAAAUCUUGACUUUUAAUGAGGCUUUUGUCUUCCAAAGUUGAAUAAAAUUUUAAUUGUGAACCCCACCAUCUUGCAGAAAUUUAUAGCGUGAUUUGACCGUGAACUUUUCGGACCGAGUCCAUCUCUAUCUAAUCUCAUCUGAUCUAUUAGAAGGCCACAUCUUCGAAAUCGUCUCUUUAAACUUCAUGAUCAAGUAAAGGUCAACCUGGGAAGUAGGAAUGAAACCUGCCAGGAUCUUAGGCCAUCUCUAUCCGGUCCCUCCCCAGCACUCCUUCACAAGAUAUUUCUUGUGUACAAUUGUAUCGUAAAUAAGGGAGAAGAGAGUACAGGAUUGUAAUUAUUUUACAAUGCACUCCGACCCAUUUGAGUCGUGUGGCCACAUCUCCCCGUUAGAGAGUUUGCACUGAGAAAAGGGGAAAGAAAAUGGGCCUAUUGAAUAUAUGACCAGUGUCCUGGGAUUCAAGUGGGCUCCAAGAGGUCUACUUAAUCUUAAAAAACAAAUUACCAUUCACUGUGUAAGCCGUAAAAAAGCCAUGACUCCUGGGAGGAGGCUAUAUGUACAUCCGUCUAAAACCUCACUUCUACUCUUCUCACUGUUCUAAGUACUCCUGUAUACACAAAAACACAUUCACUCACACUUCUUCUGUGGACUCUUUAAUUUAAGUGUUGUUGCUAUUUUUAGUGUUAUAAUUCAUGGACAAAAGGCUUGCGUAGAGGAUCUCGUUCCACAUGUCCGGCACGCCGGGAAGGCACCAGUGGCUGCAAUCCUCCGCCGCGUGCGGCGGCGUGCCGGGCUCGCGGUGGCUCGACGGGUGCCCGUCCUUCCUCAGCUCGGUUGGAUGCGUGAUGUCCAGAUACCGCGCAUUCCUGCCGCCUCUCUUCAUCUCCUCCACCGCACGGACGGUGAUCGCGUUGCUCCACGGCUCGGGCUCGAACCUGAACCUGAACCCACUGGUGCUGAUCCAUGGCUCCGUUUCCCGUCUGCAUGUGCCGUUCGUGUCCCACGUCCCAUUCCUGCAGUCGAGAGCCAUGUUAAAUUUAACAAAAUUUUUAGCAUAAUCAACUAAAAUUACUCAUGAUGAUAAGAGUUAAAAUUCGACUCACGUGUAAUGAGAAGGGGAGAAGCUUCGGAAGAAGAUGUGCGCCUUCGAAAGUUGUGGAUUGCUUGUGGCCCAAUUUGUCACCGUCUCCAGACUUAGUUGAAAAGCUUCUUUGAUAUCCAUCGUCAUGUUUAUUGUUUUGCCCACUUGAAUAUAGUUUCCCCUGAAGAAAUUUGUGCGCAUGCAAUUACAGUGCAAUAGUAAUCUAGUAUACAGCAAAGAUAAAUUGAUGUCAUAUAUGCAUUAUCGGGCCCAAAACUUCUCGGCUAACCAAUUAUGAACACGACGAGGCCCAACCCAGCCCAUGUAAUUUUUUUAAAAAAAAACUAAAAGAAAAACAAUCCAAAUAUAUAUAUAUAAUAUGGUAGGAAUAUUAAAUGGUUACAUUUUUGUGAUCUUGUCCUCGCUCCACCAGUGGCCAGUAUUGAAAACGAGCACGUCGGCCCCGGCCCACCGGCCAGCCAGGUGUGGCAACAUGUCGACACGCACCGCACCCUUUAUUGGCCCCCCGGAUGACACGUUCGGAGGGAGGCGGUCGACGGUGACGAGCAUCGGUGCGCGGUAAUACUCGACAGUGAGGUUGUAAUCCUGGAACACCAGGGAGAGGAAUCCCCUGUGCUUGGUUAUCGGGUUUCCGAACUGCUCGUAGAUUCGCGACCCGUUACCGACGCCUUUCGCAAGCAUGCACACCAAUGACUCCCACUGGUUCCUCCCGAUCGAGUCUCCCGCAAAUACAAUCCUCCCGUUUCUGCUCCUCUCCAGCAUAUCACUCGCAUUGAACCUGAUUUUAGUUUGGUGCGUAGUGAACAAUUUGAUUAGUUGUGAAUAACCCAAUUAAGAUUAAUUCCUAUAGCACUCUUAGGCCUAGUUUCUGGAAUGAGUCGGUUAAACACGCACGCCUGUUUUGAACAAUGCGAGAUUAUAUUAAAGUUCUCCCUAUAAGAUGAUAUACAAUAAUUGUAGGAAUUCCACUGUAUGCGUUUGGACAAUACAUAACACAAUGAGAAUUCCAAAGUAAUAUUACUUCCAUAACACAAUUAGAUUAAUAACUUUUAUCCUAAUUCAUGAAAAGAAAAAAUAUAACAAAAAAAAAGAUAAGAUUACAACAAAUAAACCUAAUUGAAAACAAUGAUUUGACAAAAGAAUGGUGCAAGUAGAGAUAUUAAAAGAAAAGGAAUAAUAUUGUACGUACAUGGGGAGAUCACAACCAUGAGGUUGCCACCGCCAAUACAUGUAGCCGGUAUCGUUGCGGCCAUUGUGCACGCAUUGAAACCCCGGGUCAAGAAACGGACACUCCUCCGUAUAAUACGAUACGCGCUCGUUCCGCACCCAUUUCCCUUUGGUGUAAUCACAACGAGUACCAUUCUCAUUCUCGCUCUCGUUCUCAUUCGUAGAAAAAGUGAGGAGAAAAAACGACAAUGGUUGUAACGGGGUGAGUUGUUGGAGGAGCACGAACGAGAGGGGUAGGAUUAAGAGGAAAGAGAUAAUGGGUCGCUUUGUUUCUUUGUUGAAGAUAAUGGAGAGGAGAGUUGUUUUAUGCGUGGGAGAUGAACUGGAAUCGGAACCGGAAUUGAAAUUUGUGAGCUCCAUUAAUGGAGGAGAAGGAAGCAGAGGAAUGGUGAGGAGGAGAUGAAGGGUUUGGACCCGCUUUAACGUCCAAUUCUUUCAUGAUAUGAUAUGGUUUGAGGUAUUUGUUACGAAACGGUUACGUUAGUUUGAGUGGUUGACCACCAGGUCAAACAACAAGGAGAGGGAGUUAAAAUUUUUUUAAAAAAAGGAUGGUAACCAAUAGGGUUUAUUUGUUUCACCGGUAAAAUUUAAAUUGAUAUACACUUGUAGGUACAUUAAAAUUCAGAUGGAAUUAUUUUUUUUUCAUUGUUUGCUUUCAUAUAUGUAGGACUGAAGUUUUUAAUUUGACUAUUUGUUUGAUAAAUAGUAAAUUACGUACAAAUUAAAGUUUUCUAUUGUUAAUGUUUAAUUUUUUUUCUCUUUUUUUUAUAAGUACUAACGAAUGAAAAUCAAUCAACCUCUAUUCAUUUUUGGUGAAAUAAACACAUCCUACACAACCACCCAUCUGCAAUUCACACGACUUUGAAAUUCAACAUAUUUAUGUAAUGGACACCAGAUGGAGUAGUCUCGCGUUAAGGAACAAGCGACAAUCGAACAAGCGACAAUCGCACCAAACGAUUUGAAUCAGUUAACGAAUGCAUUAACGAGUUGAGGUGACGUCAAAGCCCAAGGUCCAUAACUUUGGCAUCAUAAUGUUCACUGGAUCAAGACACAAUGUGGCUGUUACACACGCAAUGAGUCACAUAGGCCAAUUAGCCCAUCUACCACCUGAUUAUGAUAUUACUGCUACCCCUAGAUUUUCUUUUGUUAUUUUUUGAGAGAUAGAUAGCACGCUAUAUGUUUCGUUUAUUUCAUUUAAAAAUAAACUUAGCUAGAAAUGUGAAUCAAUUAGGAUUCGAACUUGAAUCUUAGUUAUCAACCACCAAGUCCUUUGCUACUUGCUCUAGGGACGGUCAGUACUAUGCCUAAAUAUUCAAAUCAUACAUAAGCCCAUUAGCCACAAAGCUCGAUCCAAAGUUCCAAACAGAUUCAGAUUUGUACCUUACACUUGAAACCACUCGUUUUUUUAUUAUUAGAAUUUAGAACCAUUACUUCUUACAAAAUACUGAUAGCACCUAGCAUAGCAUAGUAGUAAACGACUUAAUAAUUGAUACCCAAUACUGCAAGUUUAAAAUCUAAUUAUUUCAUAUUUACAGCUAAGUGGAUAGCAAACUAUUAUCCUCUCUCUCAGAAUUUUUUUUUUUAAUACUUGUUAUUCAGAAUUCACAUAGAAAUUGGUAGUAAAAAUAUUUUCUAUAAUUUAGAAAGAUGGAAUGUUUAGUUUAAUAAAAUUUGUCUUGAAUCACAAAAUUUUGCAUCUGGAAUCCUUUUUAAAAAAAUAUAGCAUACUGUCCAUCUUAUUUAUCAAGUAAAGUGAACUUAGCUAUAAUUGUGUGACAUCUGGGCCUCAAUCAAAAAAAGUAAGCAGAAAAAAAAAGAAAAGAAAAGAAAAGAGAGAAGAAUAUACAAUAGUAGUUUUGAUGAUUAAAAAUAUAGAGAGACGAACAAAUACUGUUAAUUUUUGCUAUUUUGUAUGGUGCAAGUUAUCGUGUAUAACUAUUUAAAUGUCCCGGUCCCUCCCUCUUUGUAAGUAAAUGUGUUUGCUGAGACUGAAAAAAUAAAUGAAAUAAAAUAAAAUAAAAUAAAAUGAAAACAAGGACCACAGGGGGGACCACCUGUAGCUGUAGAAUAGGAAGGGCAUGUAGGGAAAAGGGCAGUGGGGGACCACCACUCGGCCACCUUCAGACGCGGGGUGGACCAACCAAAUCACAUAGCUUUGCCCACACUUUUGACCCAUAACGCUUCCCCAUCCCCUCCAUUUGCCCCUGCUUUUUGCGGAAAUUUACAGCUGAGCCACCGUCGCUACCUUAGUGUUGAAAUAAAAUUGGAUAGGAAGUUUUUCUUGAAUAGCAAUUUUUUUUUUUAGUUGCAGAAACAUUUUUAGUUAGAUACUUUGAUUGGUCAAUUGGCAUAUAUUGCGCUAGAAAAAGUUAGUAAUUAUAUAUUCCAACCUUGUUAAAAAUGUUUUUCUUAACAAAAAUUUAAUCUGUACUAUAUCUGCCGAAUGGGAAUUCAGUGAAAUCUUUCUAUUUCUUUUUUUCUUUUUCUUUUGACUACAAAAUGGUCGUUUUGCGUUUUAAUAACGUAUAGUUGUUUAUAGACGCAAUUAUAAGAGUAAUCUUAGCUACUUCAUUGAUGUAUUUAAUCAUCAGAAAAUUAUACUAGCUUUGCUUUUCAUUACCUAGAUGUGGUGUUAGGCCCAAUUGCGUUACAAAAGAUAUAUACUACCUUUUAUUAAAAAAAAUAUAUUUUCAGAAAAUAAGUAGCCAGUUAUCUAUUUCGUUUAAUACUUUUAAAAAUAAAUUAUGAUAGAAAUAUAAAAUAAUUAGGCUUUGAAUUUUUUAGAUAUCAAUUAUUAAAUUCUUAUCCAAUUGCGCUUAGCAUCAUCGGUGACCCAGAUACAACUAUUAUGGCGAAUAAAUGGAUGAUCAAAUCAACACUUUGUUGAGUGUGAUUUAUGUAACACUAUCGAAUAUUCAGAAUCGAUAUCUAACUUGCUAUAUGCUUAGCACCUAGUUUUGGGAUCCAAUUUGAGCUUAUGGUUAUCGUUGCAACAGCUGUUCCCACCUCUUUACCUCCGAUUGACAAUCCAACUGUUAUCAUGAUGAAGGCAAAUAGCUACCUAGCUAAGGGGACCAUAUAUGUAAUAUACAGCAUCAAAAUCUAUCUACUUUUGGAAAGUGGACUUCAUAUAUAAUCUAUCAAAGAAACUCUCAGAAUCACAGUAUAUCCACUUAAUUAGGAAAGAAAAAAGAAAAAGAGGCAAUAGAAUGUCAACUUUUUCGCCCAAAUCGAAAAGUGGCUAAGAUUUGAUGUGGAAUUUAGAAUCAGUAAAGUAAUUUUUACAUCUUCAAUUGACUGACAAUUAUUGGUGAUCGUUUUGAGUAGUUAAUUAGCUAAUUAGGUAAUUAAGCAAGAGUCAAGUACUAUUAUUAUAUCACAUAUAUUAAUCGCACAUUGCGGAGCAAAUUUGAUACGUGUCAAUGUGUCAUGUCAAGUUCUUGAUCUCUAAUGCUCGGCAUCUGUUCUAGUCCUUACAUGGGUUAUGAGAGUCAUUAUUUUGAACAGAAUAAGGCAUUUAGGUACGAAGUGAGGUGUAAAUUGCCCUCAGACUGUUUUAGGGGAAUAGCAUGUGCUUAUGUAGCUAUACUUGUGUGCUGAUCUAGCAUAUGCUGAUCUAACUGCACCUAAAGGGUGGCAGAAAAGGACCUGAUUAGUGUGGCGACUUGUUAGUGGAUAAUUUGUCGAGAAAGAAAUAAUAUGAUUUUUUAAAUCAAUUUUUAGACGUCUUAGUGAUUAUUAGACAAAUUCAUGACAUGAAAAAAGAAAAAAAAGGCUGAAUUUUACAGCACUAUGUGACUUAUUUUUUAGUGAGGAUUGUAAAACUCUCAGUUUUUUCUUUACUUAUGUAACUUUUUAACUCACCCGAAGUCUCGUUGCCUCAAUUUUCUGUAACUGAAUUUUUUUAUGGAAUGAAUGAAAUGGCCAGCGAGCUAUCUUUACCUCAAGAAGAAAAAAAACUUUCCGUUGUCACUCUUACUAACUCUUAUAUCUAAUAUUAUUGAAGAAAUUUAGGUAUAAUUCUACUCCUAUAGCAGAAUUUUGUGGCUUACUAAGGAGGAUAUGCUAAUUUUUCUUUAGGGCUACCAAAUUUCCUCUUAACAUUUUGCGAUUCACAUCACAUUAUUAUCAAAUUUAUUUUGCUUCUAUUGACAAACCUAAUUUUUCCAAUCUAUAGGAUGCAUAUUGCAAAUAAAACUUUGUUUUUUGAACGUCGCAAGGACAAUACAUUUUAAUAAUUACGCUCAAGUACAACCAUCCCACUAGAAUAUUCAUGGAAUUAAAAGAAGGAUUCUGCAAAGUGCAUUAACAAUCUCAAAGAAAUAGCUGCGCUCACUUUAGUUAUUGGUAUUCUUUUGCACUAUAAUAAUGUAAAAUUAUUUGAUUAUGUAAUUAGGUACAUUAAUUGUCAUAAUUAAAAUGUGAUUAAGUGUGCAGUUGAGCUUAAUGUGGUCCAUGAGAAUGCGUCCCUUUCUCUUUUUGACUAGUUGAAAAGAAGCUAUAAACAAACUACUUUUAGCAUAACAAGGAUGGGCACGCCAUAUACGGACCUUAACUACUAUUGUAGUAAAGGCCAAAGGUUACGAGCUUUCUAAGAAAGCAACCCUAAAGCAUUGAUUAUUGCUCGGUUAAUAAAACCAAACACAAAAAGCAACCAUGUGGUGAGCACCUAAUACACAAAAGUAUUUGUAAAGUAUUGGUCAAGCAUCGCUACUUUGUCGGGUGUUUGAACUUGAAAGACCAUAGACUUAGACUCGCCGCGUUUGGUAUUGGCCGUAUGCGAACCGCUUGUGCGCAAAUCAACAACUAUACUACAAUUUAUAUGUGAAUUUGUAUAGGUUCUUUACCCACCUCUACGAAAAUAUUUGUACUUGAGUAGACGCGAAGAGAAUAUAACGAAGCAAUCUUUAAAAGCUACUUUUUUUUUUUUCAAUUCAAUUCAUUCAGGGUCAGUUUGCAAAUAUAUAUAUAUAUAUAUAUAUAGAGAGAGAGAGAGAGAGAGAGAGAGAGAGAGAGAGAGAGAGAGAGAGCAUGAAUUAAAUUACUACGCAUAGAAAGAAAGAGUGAAAAUAUAGAUGGUUUAGAUUUGAAAAUUCUCAAAAGGAAAUUCAGCAAGUGUGAAAGAGGACAUAGUGAUCUCCAGCAGAUAGGGAGUCAUAAAUAACAGUAGCUGUGGGCCCCCACAUAUCCUAUUCAUGUUUAUUGGACAAAAAUGGAAUUAAAAAAAUGGAAUAAUUCCACUGGGCGGGAGUGGAUAAGAUGUGGGCUGAAUCUCUGGUCCAUAUCCAGUUUAUCUGUUAAUCGGCAGUAGCCACUGGGGCUCCCUAUUUUACACAACUACCCUCCCCAAAUUCCCGAAAUUACCUUUUGCCGCAGUUUAAGUUCCGUCAUCGGGAAACGCAUCCGUACUCAGAUCCGCGCGCGGGAGAAACAGAUACGGUCCGUAUUGUAUCAGAGGGCAUAAACCGUAAUUUCAGAACAGCGGAAGGGUAUUUUUGGGAUUUCAGAUGAAGUAAUAAUCGGAGCCGGAGCCACAGCGCCCAAUGCGGCCCGUGACGGGGGAAGCGAGCGCCGUUACCGUUACGGCUAUCGGAUAGACCAGACCAGCGGUGGGGCCCACGGCGGGUCCGAACGCCGUUUGAGCCAACGCGCUUCCCGGGGCGCUGCUGCGCUCAUCUGCUGCUCCGAGCUCUCCGUGCUUAUCCACAGCUCCUCCACACAAUUCCUGCCACGUGUAGUGUCGUGUCUACGUGUUCUCACAGGCGCCUCGUGUGCGGUGGCGCCGCGGGGUGAAACGUAACGGAUGGAGGGUGCCUCGCACGUGACUCGCCCGUUACCGAAAUAUAUUACAUGAGGUGAUUAUUUUUUUUAUUAUAAUUUUAUCUUGUUAACUACCUUCUAAUUUCCUCUUAUCCUAAGGGGAAAAAAAAACACUUUCUAUUUUCCACCGAGCAUUUCUCUCCAAUAGAACAUAAAAUUAAAAAUAACUUUUUUUUAAAGAUAAAUGUUUAAGGAUUGAUUAGCAGUAUUAUAUAUACCUAAACAUCUUUUUCAUUGAAUUUUAUUAAUAGGAAUCAUCUAAGAAGGUAGAUUUUAUGAGUAAAAAAUGAACCAUAGCAUAAAAUAUAAUUAGACUCCUAACAGAAUACGUGAUCGUUGUAUCUAAUUAUAGAAGUUGUAGUUAAAAUAAUUUAAAUUAAUACUAGUUUAAAAAAAGUUCAUUUAGACAAAAAGAGAUGUAAAAGGAUUGAGAAGCAAUUAAUAGACCAUUACCGAUAAUCUUGGCUAUAUGUUAAAAGUACACUUUGUGAAAGCCAAUUGCAUCCUUAUAUACUCAAUUAAUUUUGUUGUUUACUUACACAAUAUUAUAGUGCUCAACUAAAUUAAAAAAGAUGGUAGUUACCUAUAUGGCACCUCCUCUUUGCUAUGUAGCUCACGUGUCUAGCACUUUGUAUCUUAGCACAAAAAGACACGAAAAGGGCACAAGAUAAAGAGGGAAAAAAGAAAAGAAAAAAAAGAAGAAGAAAAGAAAAAUUAAGGAUCGAGCAGUUAUGUCAGUGACCGAGACGCCACCCCCUCCCUCUUGGCUUCUCACACAAGCCGACACCUGCGCUUCCAAAGCUUCCCGUUUCCAUCUGUGCAUGCAGGUAACAUCUUAAUCUUCUUGAUAAUAAUAAUAUUUUCAAUCUUUUAAAUUAUCAUACUCCGGUGUAUAAAUAGUUUAUUUAAUAUAUUUAUUAAUUUAUUUUAAAAAAUUUAUUGAUAGAUAAAAAAAAUGUAAUCAAAUAUUUAUAAUUAUAUACUGGUAUAUUUGGUCUUCACGUUAUUUUUUGAAAUAAGAUAAAUUAUCUCUUACAGAGAAAUAUUUUAUCAUAUCAAAUUAAAUAUAAAUAUCAAGACCUAUCAAAAAGUAAAAGAUCAAGCUUUUUUCAUAUAAUCAUGCUAGAAAAUUCAUAUAUCGAAUACGUUAUCAUUUCGUUUUUAAAGCGGAUGUCUCUUUUAACUCUUGAAAACUCUUUCGAUCAGAAGUGCCAAUUUAUCAAUAAUACGUAAUAAAGUAUUCUAAAAAAGCUAUAGCAAUACUUAAACCUUAUCUUAAUUAAAAAUACUUUAGAUCAUUCACAAUUUUUGUAUUUUCUACAAAUUUAUAUAGCACUUUUGAAGUAAAUGAACAUUAUAUAUAUAAAAGCUAAUACAAAUAUUAAUCAUUUAUUAUAAUAGAAGUAUUUUAAAAAUAAUAUAGUAUUAUUACACGGAGCACAUCCAAAAUCCACGACGCACCAUUAAGCAGCAGGGCCCACCACAUAUACUGCAAAUGCCACUCGCAACCGAAAUUGUGUCCACAUUUGGCAGUUACUUUCGCUGUGCUCAAACAUUAGUUUGAUGACCGCAUUUUUUUUUUUUUUUUUUAACUAGUUUGAUAGUAACAUCUUUCUUUAAUAUUAGUUUGAUACUGACUUGUUUGGCCAUUGUUAGAGAACUUAGACGUGCUAUGCUCAUCAAACACUAAAAAUCGUACCUUUUUAUUAGAAAAACGUAAGCCGCACUGUAUUUGAAAAUAGACAAAUUAAUAUGGAGGUAGGCCUUGACAUGCAAUAUAUAGAUUGUAAGCAAUAGUAUUGAUGAAAAAGAAAUACUAUUUUAGUAUUAAUAAAAUAAAUUACUAAAAUUAGCUAUUGUAUGUUGACUAAGUUCAAUUAAAUUUUAAGAAUUUUGAACUAUGUGGCUCUACUGCUAUCAUAUAUUUCUCCAAUGUAAUAGUCAAUUAUAUUUGUGUCCUGCUAUUAAAAUGUAAUGGUAAAAUUAAUUAUCCACCGAUUCUUCACAAAAAUUAGCUCAUCUUAUGAUCAAGGAGUUCGAGCCCUAAAACCUGUUUAUUUUGCAGAGGGUGAAAUUCAAAUUGAAGUACAUAUUUACGAUAUUUUAGAGUUGAACUAAAAGUUGCUUUUCUUAAACUAUCUGUUGGUACAAUUGUAAAAUUUAUUUUUUUUCAAUUUUACUAUUUAUUUGACUCUGAAUAAAUAAUUUUAAAACGGGGGUAUUAGAAAUGUGUUAAUAUUUUAUUGUUUUCUCAUUCUUUUUAGUAAUUGACUUUUCUUUAUUAUUAUGGUGGUUGAAAUUAAUUACCAUAUUUAUGAAAUUGUAAAUUAAUUUAGAUCGAAAAUAAAAUUACAGUAAAAUAAAUAAUAAAAACAAAUACUUACAAUAAGAUAAUAUUUAUUUAUUUAUUUUUGAUGAAACAAAUAUAGCAAGGUUUGCAUUUCUGGCAAAGUAUAAAUAAAUUUUUAAGAGCACACUUAUGGGUUACAAAGUGUACGGCCAUUAGUAUAAAAACAAAAAUUUAAAAAAUAAGUAUUUGUAAUUAGUUGAUUUACAAAGUUACCCUGGAAGGCAUGAAUGGACAGGUGAACGAGCAGAUGAGAAUGAGAUAGGGUGGAAAGAUUUUAGAAUGUAUUGAUUAUAUUAAUGAGGUGAUAUUUCUAAAUUAAUUAUAUUAUAAAAAAUAAUUUUACUGUAUUAGGGAAAAAAAAAAAAGAGAAAAUGUUAUACCGUAAACUUUAUUUUCUUGGUAGAGUGGCGUCGGUAGUGUUGUAUAUCACGCAAUUUCCGUUGUUACGAGUUGCAACCCGCCCCUUCCAUUAUUAUAAGAUGAAUCAAAUCAAAUCCCGCAUUAAUUCCUCGAUAUUAAAUUCCUCCUCAAAUACGCCAAAAAUAAUCCGUGCCAGCUUUAGAGCGCGCCGUUUCACUUCCCCACUUCGGUUUGGGCCCCACAGUUUCCUUCUCCGUCUCCUCCAUCCAUCCAUCCCCAACCCUCCUCCGUUAUCUCCUCUUGUUAUCUCCUCUUUAUAUCUCCCCCUCUUCUCUCCCUCUCUCUCCCGUUCUCACUCCCCUCUCCCCACCCACACCCCAGAGAGAGAGAGAGAGAGAGAGAUGGCGAAGAGAGAGAGAGAGAUCAGCUCGUCGUCGUCGUCGUCGUUCGCGAGCUUGAGGGAGUAUGGGCGGGCGCUGGGGGAGACGCACAGGAGGAUUGUGCGGAGGGCGGGGUCGGUGACGACGACGUACGAGGAGAUGAGCAGGGUAAGGGCGCGGUCGGGGCCGGACAUGGCGCGGACGCUGCGGUGGCCGGACCUGGUGGGGUUCGGCCUCGGCGGGAUGGUCGGCGCCGGCGUAUUCGUCGCCACCGGCCGCGCCGCCCGCCUCUACGCCGGCCCCGCCGUCGUCGUCUCCUACGCCAUUGCCGGCCUCUGCGCCCUCCUCUCCGCCUUCUGCUAUACCGAGUUCGCCGUCGACAUGCCCGUCGCCGGGGGCGCCUUCAGCUACCUCAGGGUGACCUUCGGUGCGCACCAUAACUCCGCCCCGAACACUCUGUUUAAUGCUUAAAUAAAAAAUAAAAAUCCCUCUUUUAUUUAUUUUUUUAUUUACUUUUAAAAACUUUUUUGCGAGUUGGGUUUUGGUUUCUGUACUUUUCCAAAAAAAAAAAAAAAAACUCACUUUUUUGAUGUAAAUCUCCAGCUAAAAACUCUUCUUGUCGUGAUUUCAUGCGCUUUUUGCUUCAAAAAUUUCCUUUCUUUCUGUGUAGUUUUAGAGUUAUGGGGCCCAUUUCGUUCCUUUAGCCGCUAAGAAGAUCUCGCCGUUGAUUAAAUAAUUCGUAAUCGAAUAGUGGCUGGGCCAUGUCGGAGCGGAUUGGGCCUCAUCUUCGACAUGUAUUGCGUCUUUUCGCAGGGGAGUUUGCGGCGUUUCUGACGGGGGCGAAUCUGAUAAUGGAGUACGUGUUCUCAAACGCCGCGGUGGCGCGAAGCUUCACCGCGUAUCUCGGCACGGCGAUCGGCGUCGACACGCCGGAGAAAUGGAGGGUGACCGUCUCCUUCCUCCCGAAGGGCUUCAACCAGAUCGACCUCCUCGCCGUCGGCGUCAUCCUCCUCAUCACCAUCUGCAUUUGUUACAGGUAAUUAAUAAUUAGCAUUACUUUUAUUAUUAUAAAUCACACGACAUUAACAGAACGAAAGUGAAGGGAAAUUAACGUCGCGUACACAGGUGUUGCUAUAAUGCUUGCGUCACUUGUCACUUCAAACAGAUUGCUUUGUUUCGCAUUUGUCUCUUCUAGGACAAGAACCGUCACCUCUCUUGUGCAUUGUCGCUAAGCCAAGUUCAAACACCAUAGUAGUUUUAAUUAAUUAAUUUCUUUCACUGUCGUAUAUACCCGUGCGAAUUCGCCCGGGUCAAUAAUAAUUAUUUUAAUUUUCCUCACUAUGCUCCUAUGUUGGUGACGGGUCACCACAAGUGUAAUACAGAGCCCCUGCUCUGUUUCUCUGGUUCAAAGAUGGUUUCUUUUUCUAUGAUCCCAUUAGCUCCCUCCAAUUGUGUAUAUGGGUAGUUUGAAUUUCACAUUAUUUUUCUUUCUUUUUCUGAUGAAUUUUAUUUAAUAAUGAGUUUUUUUUUAUUUUUGUCAAAGAUGGUUCGAACGCGAUUUUUUUUUUUUUCCGAGAGAGAGAGAGAGAAAAGUUGGCCGCUUUUUCCUAUAAACCCAAAGGUUCCGACAAAAUUGGGCGUAGUUCGGAUUCUCGCCGAAAUUGACUGUUUGUAAUCAUUUUUUGGUUGCGCGAGUGGAUCUUGACCAACAGUUGGUGCGUGUUCUUGACUCCUCUGUUUCUGUUAAUAUUGCUGUACAAAUCCAGUACGAAGGAGAGCUCGGUUCUGAACAUGGUGUUGACGACGAUCCACAUCGCGUUCAUCCUAUUCAUAAUCGUGAUGGGCUUCUGGCGCGGGGAGUGGCGCAAUCUGACCCACCCGGCGGACCCGUCGAAGGACGCGGGCGGGUUCAUGCCGUACGGCAUCGGCGGCGUGUUGAACGGGGCGGCCAUGGUGUACGUGAGCUACAUCGGGUACGACGCCGUGUCGACGAUGGCGGAGGAGGUGAGCGAGCCCACCCGCGACAUCCCCGUCGGCGUCUCCGGCUCCGUCGCCCUCGUCACCGUGCUCUACUGCCUCAUGGCCCUCUCCAUGUCCAUGCUCGUCCCCUACGACGCCGUACGCUCAAUUUGUUUCAUAAAUCCUAUAUAUUAACAGCAAAAUCGUGGGAUUUGACGAUCGGGUCCGGUCGGUGGUCCCCACCUGUGAUCGGCUCCCUCCUCCUUAUCCUUCCCCAUUCCAUUUCCCUUAAUUUCCCUUUUGCUGAUAACUACCCAACAGCUAUUCAAGAAGCUACUGCUGAUGCAGAGAGAGAGAGAGAGAGAGACAGAGAGAGAGACAGAGAGAGAGAGAGAUGAGAAAGAAUAAGUUGCUGAGAUCUGUUGCCUCACUCUCACGUAGCUUUUUGGGUAGUUAUUGGUACGUUUUUGCUUUUAGCGACGGUUGUGGUUUAUGGGCUUUUGCGUGUUGCGUGUUGUUGUUGUUGUUGUUGUUGUUGUUGUUGAUUUUUGGGGCUUGGGCUCGGGCACGGGCUCGAUUAAUUUCGCAGAUCGACGUCGAAUCGCCGUUCUCGGGGGCGUUCAAGGGAUCGGACGGCUGGGGAUGGGUGUCGAACGUGAUCGGGGCGGGGGCGAGCUUCGGGAUCCUGACGUCGCUUCUGGUGUCGAUGCUGGGGCAGGCGCGGUACCUGUGCGUGAUCGGACGGUCGAACGUCGUGCCAGCGUGGCUCGCCAAAGUCCACCCCUCCACCGCCACCCCUGUCAACGCCUCCGCCUUCCUCGGUACGCUUGGGCCCACCACCACCCCACCCUUCCCCUCUCUAUUCCCCUCUCCUAACCCUCCAUUAAAACUCUUGUUCCUGUUUCAUUUUCAGAAAAAAAAAAAAACAAAACAAAAGCAGCUGUGGGGUACCCCUACCCCCCAAAAAGACAAUCAAUAAUUUAUAGUGAUCACUGACCGUCCCUGGUCGUAGGUGACAAAAAAUUUAAUUAUUGAUACCCGAAGUCUCAAAUUUGAAUUCUAAUUGAUUCAUAUUUUCAGCUAAGUUUAUUUCUAAAAUAAAAUAAGUGAGACGGCUAGCAAGCUACUUAUCUCUCAAAAAAAUCAUGCGAUGCACCUCAUAUUAAUAAACUAAAUUAAAUUUGAAUUCAAAUUUUAAGCUCAAAUAAAUUGUGAAUGUGGAUUUUGAAUUCAAAUGGUUAUUAGUGGUAGAAUUUAUCUUUUAAUUAAUUUAUUUUUUAAAUACGAUUUGUUUUUGAGUAUAUUUUCAAUAUAAAUACGUCGUAAAUAUUUAUUAUAUCUGUUCCAUAGCAUACAAAUUUUUUCUUUAAUAUGUACUCAAAAUUUAAAAUUUUGAAUCAAUUUUAAAUUUAAAUUAAAAAUUGAAUUUAGAUUUAAAGUUAUGAACCAAACUCAGUAUUUAAAUUUAAUUUUAAAUCUAUUUUUUGAAUUUAAAUAAUUAUUUCUUUGAUAGGCCUAUAGUUAAACUAUUUUAUUUCUCAAAUCUGAAUUAUUUUUAAUUAGUUGUUUAUUUUAUUUUUUAUUAUUAAUUUUUUGGUAAUGCGUGUGAUUCUAUUCAUUUUUAUAUAUAGUAUUAAAUAUAUUGCCAAAUAUAAUAUAUUUAUUAUUUAUUACUGUCCGUAUGAAUCGAUAGAAAGACGUCACCCAUGUAGCAUCACUAUUUUAGGAGAACAUAUUUUGAUUUGUGAUGAAUGCUUUCCAAAACGGAUGAUAUUAAUGCAUCACAUUUUCACCGGGAGAAGUUUGAUUUGUUAAAGCCUGGUCAAAUUUAAUUAUUUACUAAUUAGUAAAUAAUGACUAACACUAUUCUUUUUCACCCUCUAAUUAGGCUUUGCGAGACAGUUUGUUAAAUUGUUAGUUUUGACUAUGAAGUGCAUUUUGACUUCUUUUCGUUGUACGAGUUAGAAAUAUUUCGUGCAAGUUGAUAGUUGACCCUGUAUUGUACACGUGUAGCAUAACGCUAACUCGUGACUUGUGUAAUAGUGAAAUCGACGAGUGUUCAAUGUAUUGAAUUAUAUUAUUUAAGAGUAACUAGUUGAUAACCGAUUUUGAAUUUAAUGUUUUAAGUGGAUCCAUGGAUUGCAGGGUUGUUCACGGCGGCGAUCGCGCUGUUCACGGACCUCGACAUCCUCCUCGACCUCGUCUCCAUCGGCACCCUCUUCGUCUUCUACAUGGUGGCCAACGCCGUCGUCUACCGCCGCUACGUCGCCGCGGGCACCGGCUCCGACGCCAACCGCUCCUGGCCCACCGCCGCCUUCCUCCUCUCGUUCUCCCUCGCCGCCCUGGCCUUCACCCUCCUUUGGCAUUGCACACCCACCGGAAUAGCAAAAGCCGCCCUCCUCGCCGUCUGCGCCGCUGCCGCCCUCUCCCUCCUCACCGCAUUCCGCUUCCUGGUCCCGCAGGCACGGAAGCCGGAGUUCUGGGGCGUCCCCAUGAUGCCGUGGAUACCGGCCGUGUCCAUAUUCCUCAACGUCUUCCUGCUUGGCUCGCUCGACGGUCCGUCGUACGUGCGGUUCGGGUUAUUCUCGGCUGCUGCCGUGCUUGUUUACGUUCUGUACAGCGUGCAUGCGAGCCAUGAUGCGGAGGAGAACGGUGAUCUUCUAAUGAAGGUGGGGGACAGUGAGGCCCGUAUUGUGGCGGGGGCGGGUGAUGGGGCCUCCAAAGUGUAAAUGUAGGUAGUGAAGAACCAAAAAAGAAAAAAAAAAAAAAUUCACCACCUUUUUUUUUCACUUUUUUUUUUUUAAGCCUUUUGUUUUAGCUUGGGGAUGGAGGUGAAAUUUGGAGUUAACAUGGGGGCCUGAAAGAAAUUCUGUCAUGCAAAAAGUUAAUAGAAAAGAAAGAGAAGAUUUAAAGGAAAUUCUUUACACAUGAAGUUGUAGCAUAUUGCUAGCUUUCUGAAUCUACUUAUGCUCUUUAAUUUUCUGGAAGAACCUUUUACUCUGCUGCUGCUCAAAUCUUCUUUCUUGUGAAUCUACUGAUUCAAUGAAACCAUCUCAGAAGAACUGAUGCUUAUAUUGUUAAUAUAUAUGAUAUCUUUUUGAGCCUAUUUUCAACUUUCAUUUCACUCAAGAAAGAAACCAGGAAUUAAGAUUCGGAGAGUUAAUAUGAUAUGUUUCUGGACCGAUUUUCCAACUGGCAUUUCAAUAAGAAACAAAGUUAGGAAUUAAGAUUUGGAGGGGCCACGAUUCAGACUCGAUGGAAAAAAAAAUCGAUCUCAGAUAGCAAGAAAAAAAAUUUAUCAAAUUUACUGGACAUCUAUUGCUAGCGAUAGCAGCGACAAUGUGCUUAAGAAAAAGUAAAAUUAUAAGGGUCGAAAAUAAGGAACCGAGUGAUUCAGAAAAAUAUUGAAACACAAAUUUUAUUAAAAAAAUCAAUUUGGCUCCCCAAAAUUAAAAUUUGAAUAUUUUAAUUUUUACCAUAAAAAACUUAUAUAUAAUUUAUAAUAGUUGAGAGGCAGCCAUAAUCACUGUGAACCUCAUUAUAGCUUCCCUGAUUUCAAUAAUCAAUAUAAAUUAAAUUAUAAUAGUAAAGUGGCUCUAAUAAAACCGUUUUCUUUGGGGCCACUAGGUUCAGGCCCGUUUGGAUACCUCUAAAAACGUAGCAUAGUUAAACUAUGCUGCGCCGGUUGGAAAAUAAUUCUAUGAAGUGUUUAGAAGAAAAAAAAAUAACGUAAUUUUUGGAUUAUAGUUAUACUAUACUCCAAAACAUAGAGUAAACUUACAAUCCACUUUAACCAAAACAAAAAAAUUCCAUCAUUUUGGGCUCCUAAAGAUGUAUGAAUUUCUAAAUUUUAAAUUUCAACAUAAAAUUUUAAAUUUCAAAAAUUAAAAUUUUAAAUUUUAAUUUUAAUUUUGAUUUUAAAUUUUAAUUUUUAAAUUUCAAAUUUCAAAUUUCAAAAAGUUUCAAAUAUCAAAUUUCAAUCAAAUUUCAAAUUUCAGCUUUCAAAUUUCAACUUUCAAAUUUCAAUUUCAAAUUUUAAUAUUUCAAAAAAGUUCAAAUUUAAAAUUUCAAAUUUCAAUUUCAAAUUUCAAAUUUUAAAAGUUCAAAUUUCAAAUUUCAAAUUUAAUUUUAAUUUAAUUUUUAAUUCCAAAAUUUAAAUUUAAACUUAAAUUUUAAAUUUUAAAUUUAUAAAUAUGUAAAUUAUAAAUUAUUAAAUUUAAAAUUUAAUAUUUUAAUUAUAGAUUUUUUAAAUUUUAAAAUUUAAAGUUUAAAUAGUAUACUUUAAUUUAAAAAUUUAAAGUUUCAAAUUUCAAAUUUUAAAUUUCAAAUUCCAAAUUUUAAAUUUCAAAUUUAAAACAUAAAAUCUAAUUUAAUUUUUAAAAUUUAAAUUUUAUAUUUUAAUUUUAUAUUUUGAAUUUUGAAUUUUAAUUUUUAAAAUUUUAUUUUUAAAUUUUGAAUUUUGAAUUUUGAAUUUUGAAUUUUAAAUUUUAAAAUUUUAGAAAUUUAAUUGUUAUAAAUAUAUGGAAUUAUAUGAUCUGUAUCCAAACAGCUUAAAAAUGAAACUAUGAAUUUUUUUUAUAGUUACAAAGUUACAAGAUUCCGUAUUUCAUUUAGACCAAAAUCAUAGAAUAAAAAUUUCAUUGAAUUUUUUAACUAUGAAUCCAAACAGGGCCUCAGUGAAUUUGAUCAAAUCCAAUAAGAAAUUCUUUAAUCUUCUCGAGUAAAUUUACUCAAUUGUGAAUUUACUAUUUCCCUUUCUAAUAAUCGAAAUAUGAAGUUGCCGUCUUUUCACUGUUUGUUAACAGUUCACGGUCGACACACCUUUUCGCCCAUGGAAUCAGUGAAAAGAACCACAUCAUAGUGACAUUUCAUCUGAAAAAGAUGUGAUUCAAUGUACCCAUAUAUACUUCACCAUAUUCUCAUAUAAGGUAGAUCCAAAUGUGAGAUUGCACCAGUAAUCAUGUACUUAAAUUCCCGUACGUGGACUGUAUCUACCUACCACAACUAAUUAGGGACCACGAGAGUAAACCACCCACGUACGCGCCCAUUACUUUAUAAUGGUUUUUAGGUUGUGACGGAUCUGGAUUUGAGUGGGUUGAGAGAGUUAUUGGACCACAAAGCAAAGAGACAAUAUAAGGAUAUCCCACUUAACCCGAAUCCAUGAGCUCUCCUUUCUCUCUUUCUCUCUCUCUCUCUCUCUCUCUCUCUCAUAUGAAGAUGAUGAUGAUAAUAACACGAUAUCUACUAGUCCUUUUUUGUCACUCGUCCUAGGAUCAUGAUAUGUACAUGAUCUUUUUUGGAAAAUCAUGGGGGAAAGGUGUGUGGUUACCCUCCUUUAGCUUUUUACUUUUCUUUGAGGAUAGUGUGUGCCGUAGAAAUUUUACUUGUGGUGCUGAUACAAAGGGCACUUUUCUUAACAACGAGGCGUGCGCAUGUGCUUAUUGUAGGUGGGUCUCUCGUGAUAUAGGGGUGACAACACGGCGGCGCAGAGAUACAGAGCCCAUCACUAUUUUUUGUUUCCGUAAACAUUUGAAGUUAAUUAAUUAAUAUCAAAUUCUCUUUCUUACUUGCCGUGCAUGAUUAAAACAUUUCCAUUUUCGUCUCCGUAUUGUCACGUGAACUCUCCGCGAACAAAUAAAUAUAUAAGCAACAUAAAUUACAUUCCUAUAUAAUACAUGGGUGAAAAUUAUCCCAGAUUAACAAAAAAAAUUUACAUUUCAUUACACAAAAAGAUUGAAAAUAUAUAUUAUGUCGCCCAAAAGAUUAAUCUAGUAAAAAAUUGAUGCAAAAAUAUAUAUUAAUUAAUAGACUGAGUCAUUACGUUUGAAAUUAAUUGAUUGUGACCUAUGUAUAAAUCAACUUGACGGGAAAGCAAUUCAGGCUAAAGAAAAGAAUUGAUUGUGACCUAUGUAUAAAUCGACUAGACGAGAAAGCAAUUUAGACUAAGAAAGCGGUGAAAAGUGACACAAGAAGAUAGGAGCAUACAUACGAGCCACCAAUAUUCUUUAAUUAAAUUGCUCUAAUAAGAUGCCCUUUUUUUUUUCGAAAUAUCUUUUAUCAUUAUCUACUCGUGAAUAUGUUCCUUUCGGGAUAUCAUCUUCACCUCAUUGCCUCCGAAAUCUUCUGAAGUUUUCUCCAGGCAUCAAAUCUAGCACCCAUUAACAAAAGUUGUCAACUCCACCUUUAUUUUUGCACAAACAGAUCCACCUUUCACUAGCUAACAACAAAAAAUUAAAAUAAGCACUAAAAUAAAAAAAAAAAAAGAAAAACCCCGGCAACUAUGUCUCCAUCUCCAUCCAUUGGUGGGGUAAUUAAAAUGGAAUAUAUAUAUAUAUAUAUAUAUAUAUAUAAUUAGGCUGGAAUACUAUUAAUAGCACCGAUUACUUGAUGCUAUUAAGUUUUUUACCCUUGAAUUAAAAAAAGUGCGGUUAAGAUGAUAUGGGCCUCCUAAGGUUGAGUGGGUGGUUGGUUGAAUAGUGUAAUCGAACGGAUGAAAAUGAUAAAAGAGGUAAAUCUAACGGCAGAAAACUUGAUAGCACCAAAUAUUUCGUGCUACCGAUAGUAUCCCAGCCGGACUUUAUAUAUAUAUAUAUAUAUAUAUAUAUAUAUAUAUAUAUAUAUAUAUAUAUAUAUAAUUGAGCUAGAAUACUUUUAGAAGCACCAACCCCUUGAUGCUUCUAAGUUUUUAGCUCUUGAAUCUACUCCUUAAUUACUAAUAAUCUUUGUAUCAAACACUAUUCCAUCUACCACCACCUACUACCACCUAGCACCAUCAUCUCAACCCUACAUCUUUCCAUCCAAUUGUUAAAAACUCAAAAGCACCACACAUUUGAUACUUUUGAGAGUAUUCUAGCUCAAUUAUAUAUAUAUAGAGAGAGUGAGGCUACUUUCUUUCUGAAAGCACGGAGCCUUCCGUGCUUUCAGGUCAUUUUUCAAGUUGCGACUUUCAAAUCGUCGAUCGGCUCCGUUAAACUUGAUCUAGAGUAUUUGAAGUAUCUAGAAAAUAAAUUAUGCUAUUUUUCGAUACUAUUUGCCUAGUGAACGAAGGGGCUCAAAAUCAACAGUUAAAAAUAAAAAUUUUACAAAAUAUGAUAAUAUGACAUUAAAAUUUUAGAUCAAAGAUAUUGAUCUUGUUUUAUAUAAUAUAAAAAAUUUUAUAUCAAAAUUUCACGUGAUUUAGAUAUUUCUACACCGUUAAACUUGCAAACGGCUCACUACGGCCGUUAGAAUUAUUAAUUAUGAGUCAAUCGAUCACUAGGCAAAUGAUAUCGAAAAAUCAUAAAAUUUAUUUUCUAAGUACUUCAAAUACUCUAGAUCAAGUUUAACGAGCCGAUCGACGAUUCGAAAGUCGCAACAUUGAAAACGACUUGGAAGCACGGGAGGCUCUGUGCUUCCAAAAGCAUAGUAGCCUCACACUAUAUAUAUAUAUAUAUAUAUAUAUAUAUAUAUAUAUAUAUAUAUAUAUAUAUAUAUAGAGAGAGAGAGAGCAGAGCUUGCCCGUGCCUUCAGUGGUCGGAAAUAUGGAGGAAAGUGAGAGGACGGAGAUAGAUGUGAGAGAGAGAAUGAGGAUGGCACAUGGGAUUAUGACGGACGUAGAGAGGACCGAUGACGUCUGGGAGAGAUGAGUCGUUUGAAGAUUAGAUUAGAAUACAAUUCGAUAGCAAACGGGCUCUGAUUUGCCACUAUUUGGUUCGGAUGAUUGGUUUGGAAGCCUCCAAAUCGACGAUUAGGACGUUGCCACAAAUAGACUAUACUACUUGAGGUAUUUAGAAUCAAAAUUUCAAUUUUUCGACUACAUAUUGUUUAAUAAUUCAGGUUUUUUCAAAAUUUGUAUAAUUUAAAUGGUCGAUAUGAGGCGUUUGCUCAGGUUUAACAGCAUGUAACAGAUAGCAAACUCAAUUUGAAUUUUUUGUUGAAAAUUUUUUAAACUAUUAAAACAAGUUAUAUACUUUCUGAUUUGAUUACAGACUAUUAUUCAUCAGUUUUUUGAGAAUAUUUAUUUUCAACCGAUUCAUUUUGUGUCACUCGAAUGGAUAAGGAGAACAAAUAUCGAAAAUGUAUGAAAUUUGGCUUUCUCAUCUAAAAUACUUAAAUGGUAAUAGAUCAUGUUUCACGGUACAAUCAUCGAAUUUGGAAAAGCUCCGAUCAUCGAAACAACUGCGGUAGCAAAAGAGCCGAUUUGACUUCGAUAGUCAUUCAGACUUAAUAUAUAUAUUAUAUAUAUAUAUAUAUAUAUUAUUAGUAUAUUAUUUAUAUAUAUAUAGCAGGUGCUAGUCUCUCAUGGAGCCACGUGAUGCUCGUGCUCCUGAGCCGUUUUCGAUGAUGUAGUUUUCGAAUCGACGAUCGGCUUCGUUAGACUUGAUCUAGUACAUUUGAAGUUUGUAGAAAAUAAUUUUUGCGAUUUUUUGAUAUCAUUUAUCUGGUAAUCGAAAGGAUUCAAAAUCCAUAAUUAUUAAUGGUUGAUAUCUGCCGUUUUCAAGUUUAACGGCGUAGAAGUAUUCAAAUCAGAUAAAAUUUUGAUACAAAAUUCUUUAUACUAUCUAUAACAAAAUCAAUAUUUCUGAUCGAAAAUUUUAGUGCUAUAUCACCACUUUUUAUAAAGUGUUUAGAAAAUCAAAUUUUAAAUCUUUUCGACAUCAUUGCUUAACUAUAAAAAAAACGAUCAAGAGGUUUCAAAUUUGUUAAUUUUAAUGGUCGAUAUGAGGCGUUUUCUCAUUUAACAGUGUAAGAUAUCCCAAAUCAAAAUUGAAUUUUUGUUAGAAAAUUUUUAAACUAUUUAAAACAAGAUUUAUACUUUGAUCUGCAUUACAAGACUUUAUCAUCAUUUUUUUGAGAAUAUUUAUUUUCAACGCGUUCAUUUUGUGCUCCACUCGAUGGAUAGAGAGAACAAUAUAUCGAAAAUGUAUGAAAUUUGUUUCUAAAUACUUCAUAAUCGGAUAGAUCAUGUUCAACGGUACCAAUCAUCAAUUUGGAGUUACUCAUCAUCGAAAACACCUGGUAGCAAACAGAGCAGAUUUGCAUAUCGAUAGUAUUCCUAGCUCAACUAUAUAUAAUAUAUAUAUGAUAUAUAUAUAUAUAUAUAUAUAUAUAUAUAUAUAUAAUAUAUAUAUGUAUGCAGCUGCUGGUCUUUAGGAGGCACGGAGGCCUCCGUGCUCCUGAGCCGUUUUCGAUGACUGUAGUUUUCGAAUCGACGAUCGCUUCGUUAGACUUGAUCUAGUACAUUUGAAGUUUGUAAAAAUAAAUUUUGCGAUUUUGAUAUCAUUUAUCUGGUAAUCGAAAGGAUUCAAAAUCCAUAAUUAUUAAUAGUUGAUACAUUGCCGUUUCAAGUUUAACGGCGUAGAAGAUAUCAAAUCAAUUAAAAUUUUGAUACAAAACUUCUUUACUAUAUCUAUAAACAAAUCAAUAUUUUGAUCGAAAAAUUUUAGUGCAUAUUCACACUUUUUAUAGAAUUUAAACUAUUUUCAGCCUGUUAAAAAUUAUUGAUUUGAAACCUUUCGAUUUCAGUAAAUGAUAUCGAAAAAUUGCAAAAAUUAUUUCUAAAACUUCAAAAUGUGUGCUAGAUCAAGUCUGAUACGGAGCCCGAUUGUCGAUUCGAAACUCCAUGCAUCAAAACGUCUCAGGAGACGGAGGCCACGGUGCUUCUGAGAGCACAGAGCCCUGCUAUAUAUAUAUAUAAUAUAUAUAUUAUAUAUAGUAUAUAGUAAGAGAGAGAGAGAGGAGAGAGAGAGAGAGAGAGUGUGUGAGAGUUCGGCCUGCUAUGCUAUUAAUAGCACGAAGCACUUGGUCCUACCAAGUUUUCUCCGUUAGAACCACCAUUUUGAUUAUUUUCACGCCGUUUAGAUCAUGCCAUCAACCACGCCUACUAAACCCUAGGACCUACAUCAUCCUAAUUGCACAUCUCUUAAUCCAAUGACCAACAAACUUGUCAUACAAUGACUUUGGUGCUAUUAAUAGCAUAGUAGCCUAGUUAGAUAUAUAUAUAAUAUUAUAUAAUAUAUAUAUAUCUAUUAUAUAUAUAAUAUAGGGCUACAUACUAGCGUAGCCAGCGGAGCGCUCGUGUUAUCAAAAUUAUUUUCGAUGAUGCGGCCUUCCAAAAUCAACGAUCGUCGUUAGACUUGAUUCUACACUAUGAAAGUAUUUAGAAACUAAAUUUCAAUAAUAUUUUCGAAUAUCAUUUACCUAUCAAACAACAGUAGUUCUAAAAUUGAAGCGGCUGAAAAUAAAAAUCUGCAUAAAAAAUGAAUGAUAUAAAUGAUUUAAUUCAAGAUAGAUAUAUGAUCCUUAUUCUAAAUAAGUGAAAAGAAUUUUCUAUAAAUUUUUAUCGGGCAUUUGGAUCUAUUUUACACCGUUAAACUCACAAAACACACCACUAUCGGCCUUUUAAAAUUGUCAAUUUGAGUCUCGUUUAUCCACUAGUCAAAAUGAUGUCGAAAAAUCUGAAAUAUUAGGUUUUCAAAAUUUUCAAUAGUGUAAUCAAGUUCUAAUGGAGCAUGAUUCAAUUUGAAAGUCGCAAUCAUCGAAAACAACUUGGUAGCACGGAGUCCUCCGUGCCCUACGAUAGCUAGUAGUCGGACUAAUAGUAUAUAUAUAUAUAUAUAUAUAUUAUAUAUAUAUAUCCUAUACAUAUAUAGCAUAUAUAUAUAUAUAUAUAUUUUCUACUACAUCAAAGGUGGGGUUUGGGGGGGCGGACCUUGGGUGACACGUUGUCCCAAACCCCCUUUACUCUCUCUCUCCUCUCUCUUCUCUCUUUCUCACCUCUAUUAUAUAUAUAUGAUAUAUAUAUAUUAUCAUUAUAUAUAUAUUAUCAUAAAUUUAAAAUUUUGAUACUUUCAAAUUUUAAAUUUAAAUUUCAUCUCUAUCUUAAAGGAGGUUUGGGGGGACCAUUAGAGCGGGUGAACACGUGUCCCCCCUCUUCGAUAAAAGGAGUGGUUUGGGGACCUUGGGGUGAGCACGUGUUCCCCCACAAUCCCCUCUUUACUCUCUCUCUCUCUCUCUCUCUAUAAAUAUAAAUAAUAAAUAUAAAUAAAUAUAAAUAAUAAAUAAAUAGAAUAAAUAAAUAUAAAUAUAUAUAUAUUAUAUAUCAAAUUUUAAAAAUUUGAUACUUUCCAAAUUUAAAUUUUAAAUUUCAAAUUAAUUUAUAAUAUUUUAUUUUCAAAUUCAUUGAAAGGAUAAAUUAGGCUACAAUGGUGAGGUACCCAGGGCCUCGAGAAAGGGCGUAACUGAAAAAAAAAAAAAAUCACGCGAUGGUAGGAAAAUCAAUUUGACAUAAUAUAGAAAGUAAUGAAAAUCAAUUUGACGUCUUGGUGCAUUCGAAAGAGUUAGGAGUGGGUGUAUAAAACUCAGGUGAGUGUGGAAUAUACAAUAACUUAUAAAAUAAGUAAUGGCACAUACUGCAUGCAUAAGAGUUUCAAAGCUAAAAUAAGAAAAUAUCUAUUAGAUACAUAAAAUGGAAAAUUUAAAGUACGCUUACUAGAAUUAUGCUCAAAAAGUGAUUCGCUAGCUCGAAGACUACUUGGAAAAGAGAAUUGUAUUAAAUGAGGAGCUACUUGAUUUACAUUUGAAGAUAAUGAAAUUAAUAAUAAAGUUUUACGUUCAUAAAUAGUUUUAUAUGACAAUUAACUCGAGAUAUAACUUAACCGAAUUUACACGCUUAAACUAUAGGUCGAACACAUUUGAGAGGCUACAUUGGAUUUUAAAAUCAUGAGAAUUUAGGUAGAGCAAAAAGCUCCCUAAUAUUCAUUUUACACACUAUUUUUAUAUAGAAAAUCAUGUAAACUUAGUUAUUUACAAUUGUUUACAUAGUUAGACAUUAUACUUAAAAAUACUAAUGCCUGUAAAAAUAUAAUAUUUAUGGAAUUGAUCAAACUCUUUAAAGCAUUGUAGAGCUUAUCCGAAACACGGAAUAGUAAGUAUCAGUUUCGUUUAAUCAGAAACACUAUGAUUACGUUAAAACUUUUCCAAAUUCGUUUCCUUUUGUUCCGAAUAAUGCACGCAUUUGCUUUGACUUAUCCUCACUUAUCCAAUCACGUACAGUGGACGGCGACGAUGAGAGCAUUAAGAUUGGUGUGGACUUGUUUGCUUCGUCUUUUGGUAAUGAUGCUGUUGCUUCUCAUCCAAGGCUAAAAAUGGUUUUUUUUUUUUUUUUUUUUUUUUUUUUUUUUUUUUUGGAGGAAAGGAAGGCUAAAAGUGUUGUUCGUGCAACUUGAUCAUGAGCGGAUCGGGUCAAUAAAAUUUUUUUUUAUUGUGUUUUAUUUAUUUCCUUUAGAUCCUAUCAGGAUGUUGGAGCAAGUUAUCCUUAAAUAACUUAUUUGAUAUGAAUUUUUUUUUGUAUCGUUGUAGGCAAAAUUUUUAGUUUUUGACUUCUUAAAAAGUCAUGCCAUUCAUAAUUUUAUAGGAUAAUAUAUUUACCUAUGAGGUAAUUUAUCUUAUUCCUAAAAAUUAGCUAGAAAUUAGAAUAUGUUAUUUACUUCUAGGUGUUUGAACAUAAUUCUUAUCUACCAAAUAUUACAAAAUUUUGAUUAAAUCAAAACUAUAUUCAAAAUAAGAUAUUCAUACAUCGAAACAUAAACUGAAUUUUAAACAUGCCUACGUGUCUCUAUUUCAAGAAAUCUCUGAACAACAAGUAUAGUCGAACCCUUCGUCUUUGGAAGCACUAUAUGCAGUAUAGUAAUUUUUUUUUUUUUAAGGUUACAAAAAAAAAAAAAAAAAAAAAAAUAAAGAUUAAACNNNNNNNNNNNNNNNNNAAAAAAAAAAAAAAAAAAAAAAGAAGCUAAGAACUAUCCCUAAAAAUUAAAGUGAAUAAUAUUAGUAACUAUUUUAUUUCACCCAAUCAUCCUGGCUGAAUUAUUGGCAACAUGGGGGAGACUAUUAAACAAGACUAAAAAUUAAACCAAGUGAGAUUUCAACUUGCAAUAUAUCUCUCAUUUUAAACCAACGUACGUGAAAGUGAAACAACCAUUUAUUUCUUAAAUUUAAACAGAUAAAAGCAAGCAAUAUUUUUAAUUCUUAUGCACACACAAUCUCGCUCUCCCUCCAGUAUUGAGCAAAUCGCCAUCGGCAAUGAAGUAGUUCCAACCAGCUGUAAAAUGUGCCAAAAACGAUCGACCUGACACUUUCGCGGGGUGCGCACCAAGCUGAGCGGAGAAGAAUAAAAUAAAAAAAAAGGGGAAGAUCGAGUAAAAAGUAAAAAUAAAAGAAAAAGGAUUGAUCAAGAGAUUUGUGUGAAUGGAUAGCGUGUUGAAACGCAAUAAUCAAUCGAAUAUGAUAAUCUCCUUAAUAAUCUAUAUAAUGAUGUGUCAAGUGGUGCAAAAGGCAAGUCUCCUCAUAAUCCCUCUUUGAAGACUCGAAGACUCGAAGUGCAGGGCACCUUUUGGGGUCUUAAUCUUAAAAACGUAUCUCGCAUUAAAAACAUAAUAAUAUAUAAAUAACUAGUGGUGCAUAUAAGAAUUCAGGGUUUUAGUCUGAAUAUAAAGGAUUAGGUUUGGUGUGUUACACAUUAUAAAAGUUGGGCUCAUACCAGAUACCCAAAACAGCUUUUCUGCGCACGAAAAAAUUGGGUUUAAUUAGGCUAAAUAUUUGAGGAUUGCUGGUGUAAAGUUAGAACUCUCAUAUUAAGUGCCUGUUUAUUCCGACUUCUCACAUUAUUAUGCUUAAAUAAUAAAAGUAUUUAAAGUAUUUAGUGGGUACCGAGUAAAUCUUAUAUAUUAUACUAAACAAAAUAAAAGUUUUUUUUUGAAGUAUUUUUAUUUUAUUUGAGAGUAAAAUAUAGUAUGCUACCCUCGUCGUUUAUUUUUUUAUUUAAAAAUAAAUUAGUUAAAAAUAUAAAAUAAUUAAACUUUGAGCUCGAGACAAAGCUUUUACUCAAUAGGGGCAUAAAGUAAACUUAGCAAAUUAAGCGGCUAUUGCAAGGAACGUUGGGUUGCUGGAUUGGGCUGCGGAGUUGGGUUUCCGAUCCAUUUCGAGGCCCAAAUUGUGUGAGUUAUCAUGGGCCUAACUUUAUCUUAUUUUAGAGCCCAAAUCCGAUCCAAGAGUCGACGCUUAUUUGAUGUUCAGAUACUGGGCCUCACAUUAAUGGGUCGAAAAACUCGUAGGCCCACGUAGAAAUUAAACGUUUCUAGGGUUUACAAGUUCGUUCUCUGUUCGCCGGAUCGGGAAGUAAUGCGCUGCUUAUUCCCGUGUUUCUAAUAUAAAAAGUCGUAAAAAAAGGCUUGAAGAUAAAUUAUGUGAUUUAGGUCAUGCAAUAGUUCUGGUGACUCGAUUAAACGGUCACUUGUCUAGUGUAAAUUUUGUACUUAGUUUGGCCCCUCAAUGGAUUAUUAGCAAUUAUUAAUGAUAAUUUUGAGCGCUUGGUACGGGAUUAUUGAUUGUACGCGUUUGGAGAAGUACUUUUCGCUACUAUGAUUUAGAUAUUCUACGCUUUAAUUGGUGAAUGAAAUAGGUAGGAGAUGAUAAAUAUGAGUUCCUGUUCUGCGGUUUCUGCAGUUCGGUAUAUAUAUUUAACACAAUGGAGAAGGAAAAAGUGUUACUUUGGCGGGAAGCUGCAUUCAAAGAUGAAGUCAAAAUUCUUGAGAUAGGAUUUCAAGGGGCGUGGAAGGGAAGAUGCUAAUUCUCAGAGAGGGAACCCAAUUUUUGUGAGUCUUCCUAAUACCCACGAUGUCUAGCUAAAGCUUUUAUUAUCUAUUUUGUCAAAAGUGUCUGUGAGAAGCAAACUUAUAAUCCGUAGGGGUUUCGUUAUCGCAGCUUCUUUUAUACAGAAGAACACGUUGUUUCCGCCGUAAUUUUUGUGGAAUGUAUUGUAGUAUUGGGGUUGGAUCUGAGUGCUCAAACAUAAGAAAGCUUGUCUGGGCUAAUAGGAAUAUUAUUAGUACAUUGGGCUUGCAACAACUCUUGCAAAUAUGUGCAAAAGAGAAGUCACUUAUCUUAGGUAAGAGCUCCCAUGCAUUAGCUAUCCAUGCCGGUUUGCUUACGGAUACUCUUACAUGCAACAUUCUCAUCAACCUGUAUUCAAAAUGUGGUCAAAUCGACCCUGCUCGUCGCGUGUUUGAUAGAAUGCCCGGGAGAAGUAUAGUUUCGUGGAAUACCAUGAUUGGUGGAUAUACCCAAUACGGAAAAGAUAUUGAGGCAUUAAGGCUUUUCCUGAGGAUGCACCAGGAAGGGACUCCGAUGAGUGAAUUCACUCUCUCGAGCAUUUUAUGUGCGUGCGCUGCGAAAUUCGCUAUUACUGAGUGCAAACAGUUGCAUGCUUUGGCUCUUAAAUCUGCGAUGGAUUCCAAUGUAUUUGUUGGAACUGCAAUCCUCGAUGUAUAUGCAAAAUGCAAUAUGAUUAAUCAUGCAUGCCAGAUGUUUGAUGAAAUGCCUGAAAGAUCUUCAGUCACAUGGAGUUCGAUGAUCGCAGGGUACGUGCAAAAUGAUCUUCAUGAAGAGGCAUUGAAAUUAUUCAGAAGAGCUCAGAAGAUGGGGACGGAAUUGACGCAAUUUUCUCUCUCUGCCACUGUUAGUGCUUGCGCGAGUCUGGCGGCGACAAUUGAAGGAACCCAGUUGCAUGCCAUUGUAAUGAAAGCUGGUUUUGAUUCAAAUAUUUUUGUAAUCACAUCACUUCUCGAUGUCUACUCCAGGUGUGGACAGAUAGAAAAAGCUUAUUUAGUAUUUACUGAUAUUAAGGAAAAGAAUGUUGUAUUAUGGAACGCAAUGGUCGCAGGGUUUUCUAGGCAUGCUCACGUAUGGGAAUGUAUGAUUCUUUUUGAGAAAAUGCAGCAAAAUGCUAUGCACCCAAAUGAGGUUACUUACAUCUCUGUGUUAUCUGCAUUCAGCCAUACAGGGUUAGUUGAAAAGGGUCGUCACUAUUUUCGCUUAUUAAUGAAUGAUAAAAAUGUCCAGCCUAAUGUCCUUCACUAUUCUUGCAUCGUCGAUGUUCUGGGCAGGGCUGGGCAUGUUAAUGAGGCUUGGGAAUUAAUGGCAAAAAUGCCAUUUGAGGCAACUGCCUCUAUGUGGGGUUCUCUGCUUGGGUCAUGCAGAAUACAUGGCAAUCCUGAAUUGGCAAAGAUCGCAGCUGGCCAUCUUUUCCAGCUUGAGCCAUAUAAUGCAGCAAACCUUGUUUUGCUCUCAAAUAUAUAUGCUGCGAGUGCAAACUGGGGUGAAGUCAUAAUGGCAAGGAAGAUUUUAAAAGGAAGUGGCGCGAAGAAAGAAACAGGAAAAAGUUGGAUAGAAGUGAAAGGUAAAGUUCACAUUUUUGUUGUUGGAGAGAGAGAGCACUGCAAAAUCAGUGAUAUAUAUGCGAAAAUGGAGGAUCUAAUCAACGAGAUGACAGAGUUGGGUUAUAGAACUGACACUCGGUGUGAUCUGCAUGAUGUGAAGGAGGACGAAAAAGGGGAGCUGUUGAAGCACCAUAGUGAGAAGUUGGCACUUGCUUUUGGUCUGAUGAGCUUGCCUUGUAAGAUACCAAUUAGAAUAAACAAGAACCUUAGAGUGUGUGGGGACUGCCAUUCGUUUAUGAAGUUGGCUUCAAGGAUCACAGGGCGGGAAAUUAUUGUUAGGGAUCUCAAUCGUUUUCACCACUUCAGUGGUGGAUCAUGUUCUUGCAGGGAUUUCUGGUGAUCGUGAAACUUGGAUAGCAAAAACAUUUCACCUUCUCCUAAUGCAAUCAUGUCAUCAAUACUUGCAGAUUAUUGUACCCUUGAAAAUCAUGUGGAAAUGACAAUUCUUCCACCUUCUUUCGGUCAAAUCUUUAUAAUUGACCUAAUCAAUCAUGUGGUGUAGUCUUUUCUUGCUGGCCCCCUAGAUAGUGAGAGACUAUCAGUGGGACCAUAUCAUGGAAAAUGGAAAUGGGGAGGUGGAUCAGAUCCUAAAUUAUCUGAACAGGCUUGAUCCUCCUGAAGACUGGAAAUUUGUAGAACACUUUGCUCGUAUGAUGGUUAUACUUCCAAGUUGGUUUUGCCCCCAAAAUGUUUUGCAUAAACAGGUGGGAAAUUGGCAGUGAUACUGACCGGCUAACAUUUACUAUGGACAGAGCAAUUGCAUUUGAGUGGGUAAGUUUAUUGUAUGACUAGUGACCAGGUUCAAUGAACUGCUCUAUGUUUCAUUAAUAUAUCCUUCAUGAGAAGUGGACUUUAUACUUCCGUAUCUAAGUAGAAUCUGUUCAUUAUUAAAUUUUUUUUAACUCUCUGUCUGAACACUAGACUAGUUAUGGUUCAUAUUAGUAGAAGCCAAUCAAUAGUUAUGCAUUCUUGAAGCACAUGGCAGCUGCUGCUUGCUCACGGUUGGGCUUUUAUUGAUCAACGGCAAAGCUUUUCCUUGUUUUAUUUCUUAAAACACUUGUAUAGUCUCUGAAAUGGCACACUGUUUUUAUCAGUGUGUAGUUUUCCCUAUAUUGUAAUGAUAUCAUGUGUUUUCCUUCCAUGUGCUUUCUAUUUUGUCUCAUCUGUUUGAAUUUCUCCCCUUUUUGUUUGAAAAUAGUAAUGCCAAUUCAUGUGCCAGGCAGCUGAAGACAAUCAGAACCCUGAAAUUCUAUUUUCUAAUUUUUGCCAAUUCCUGAAAUUUUUUGUAUAGAAUUGCUCUGGCAAAGACUUUCAAAGCUCUUAUUUUUUAAAAUUGCUUCUUCUUUCUUUAUUGCACUAUCUCUGAUCAUCAAUACAAUGAAUUGAUACAGUUUUUUGCCUAACACUGAAACAGGUGGUUUCUGGAAGUUUCUACUUUCUGGACAAGAGAAGUGCUUGCAGAACCCAAGUCCAUUACGUGGCUCAUUGGAACAUGAGAACCAUAUAGACCUGUCCAUAUCUGGAGUUAUUGGCACCUUCCCGUUUCAUGCAGGUACUUUCCUUAUUAUAAUGUAACCAACACCAAAUAAGUCAUUUCUAAAAAAAGGGGAAAAAAAAAAUCAUCCUUAGGAAUCAAUAUUUGUUGUUGUAUCAUUUUCAGCUUAAUGUGUUGGCCUGCAUGUUCUGCCAAUAGAUCUGUUUCUCAAAGAAAGGAAGCGCUACAAAUUGGAAAAGCUGUAGGUGAGGGAAUACUUUCUAGAGACUCAGGAAGGUGGGGAAUAAUUCAUUGGAGCUGUUCUCAAAGAAAAAAGAUGACUUUUUAAUCAGUUCAUCCAUUUUGAGUGGACCAUAUCUUGCCGGUAAGUUUGAUGAAUGACUUCUCAUCAGAUAGAAAGUAUUGCUAUAGGUCCCAGUGGAUUCCUUUCAACGGCAAUUGGUCGGUGUAUCAUAUGGUGCACAUCUUUAUCUUUAGUUGCAGCUCUAUCAUUCUACGAUCCCCUUGGAACUGUUUUCUUUACCGAUGAGUCAUUGUCAUAAAUAAGUGCUGGCCCCCUUCACUCCAGGUCUGUCUCUGGAAUUUCUAUAUACUAUGUAUAUUCUGGUUAAUCUUUUUUUUUCUUUUUCUUCACAAAAGUGAGUAAGCGAGCAUCAUAGAAACGUCAGUGUAUCGAUGCAUUGGACAUUAUCCUAAUUGAUCAUGAUUAGCCUUUCUAAGACUUAAGCUUUCAUGCGUCACUCUGUUUAGUUCUAUGCUAAGUUUGAUUAAGCUGUGAAAAGAGCCCUGCACAUGGCGUUUUCGUUUUUAGCAGACAAGCUAUCUUUCUGCCGAUCUGGUCAUUAACCAUCCUGCAAAUUUAAUGAUCUUUCCACUGCUCCCAUAACUCUCAUACAUAUCAACUUCACCUGCAUUCUUUUUCUCUCUCAGCUACUUGUACUUCACCGAAUUAGUGUACAAAGAGCACAGGGGCAAUCCACAAGGUUUAGUGCUUAUAUCUGGGGAUUUGCAACCAAUCACUGUGCUUUAAAUACCAGAUUAGGUGGCCUCAUGUUGUCCUGUGAAGUCCUUACUCAAGCUUCCUCGGUUGUCUCUUCAUUAUGGGGCCUGACAUUGUCCCUAUUAAUUAGUCUCUUUCACUUUACAGCUAUCAGGGUGUGACAAUUAGUUGAUUCUAAGCGACUAACUCAAUUAGCCAUGCUCUUCUCAUGCUUCUGUCACUUCAACACUAAUAAAUUGGUACUAGUCGUAUUCUAAAGUAUUAGCCCCAAGGCUAAUAAACACAAAACAAUGGGAUAAAUGGGAUAUAGCCCGUACAGGGAGACAUCUAAACCUUUAGCUCUAAGCAAAUGGGAAUCUAGCUUAUCAUGCUUAAGCUUGAUCAUUCUUUAUGUCUGAACUUUGUCUCUGAAACCACCGGCCUACUAAGUUUUCUAAUACCCUAUUAGUUUUGAGAACCCACAAACUGAACAAGAUUAUAAAAUUUCUUUUAAAUCUGAGAGGAACAAAUGGGAGGAAAACAACCAUAUAUCUGUAUCCUCGCAAAACACUAAAAAAGUGGUGGUUGUUGUCUGUUUCCCUAUUUUCUUGUUCCUCUUUAUUCUCAUCCUUACAUCUUCUAAACCGAUGAUGAUUUUUAUUCGUGUGUAUAUAUAUAUAUAUAUAUAUAUAUAUAUAUAUAUAUAUAUAGUUGAUGAUUCAGUUGAAUGCGUAUAACAAAAUGAUUUAUUUUUUUGUUUCACAUAAUCCAUAUCAUGUGUCAGAUCCCAACAUUGUAGAGUUCAGUUAAUUAAUAGCUCUUAUGUUUGCUAUAAUUGACUCAUCAACUAUAUCUUAAAUAUAUCUAGCAGUAUCAAAUAAAUCUAUUUACUUUAACACUAAUUUACUUUACAAUCUGACCAUAUACUUAGUGUAGUCGGCUAAAAUUUAAUGAUUGGUAUUUAAAUUUUUAAGUUGGAAGUUUAUUUAUUUAUUUAUUUUUUUUUGUUGUUCUUGUCUGGUGAGCAGAACAUCCGAAAGAAGCAAGAAAAAGAAGCGGAAGAAAAGUAAAAGAAAGCAAGCGGAGAAACGGAGAAAAUGGCAUCAAGGUUCCUUCUUUGUUGCUACAAAAGAUUAGUAGCUUACAGGAGGUGGGUGGGACCACCUAUCUUGCACAGAGAGAGUUUUGUGGGGGACCCACCCCCACGUAUCACAUCGUUAUCAAAUCUGAUGUUUCCUGAGACCUCACCACCUCCCCCGCGAUCCCAUCCAUCACAAGCAAACCGCCCAUUCAUUCCUUCGGGCCGGGCCCGCCGUACACCGCAAAAUUUUUCCAGAGAAAAGAAGAAAAAUAAGAAAACUAACAAAUAACAGCAGCAACACGAGCAGGAACAAGCGCUCCUAAAAGAAGUUUCACCUGGGUGGCUCUUCAUAGUCUGAGAUUUGGAACGAUGAGUUUUUUUUUUUUUUUUCCAUUUAGUUUGUACAUCUUGCUACCGAUAAGAAGAUUAGUCACAUAGGGCAAUAUGAAAAUGUUUUGAGCAUUCAAAGUACAGUUUGUUAGCGCAUUAUUCCGCUGAAUAUUGAGACUCUAAAGCAAUUGAUCGGAACGUUAUAUAUUCCUUCAAAUCUCGCCUCCGCCGAUUCUACGAGCUGCUCCUGCAAUAGCAUCCAAGCCACAGUUCUUGAGUACUACUUAGUUACAAUACUAGCUAGUGUUUAUCACUAUCUAGGGAUUAACAAAUGCAAUUAAGCUCGGUGCUGCUAAUUACCAAUAAUAAGGUGCCGACGGGGUUGGCUUGCACGCAGUUUGGUUCACUAAACUGAACACUGAUCUCGCCGCCUGCGGCGCCUCUUCCAAUUCCGGAGCGCACUCCAAAUUCACGCCGAACAAUCUCAGCCGCCGCUUCGAGUGCACCACUGGGGCCGCCUCCGCCGCGCCCUCCACGGCUCCGUCACCACCAUCUCCUACAGUUCCAAAGAGCAUCAUAAUUCGUAAGCUAAUCCCUAGCUACAAAUUAAAUUAAAUUAAAUUCACAAGUAUUUACAACAAAAGCAGCAAUUUGCGUGCGUGUUAAAUAGAUCGACGGACCUGCACGAAGAACGCUGCUGUCGUAUGGUUGCACCGAGCCGAGGGAGGCGUACGGACCAGCGGUGGGCGCGGGGGCGGGGCUAAAAUGCGGCGCGGCGGCUGCGGGGUGGGGUACGGGCGGCGGGCUAUCGUGCGGGCGGCGUCGGCGACAGGCAAUGUGGAGGCGGUCGGUGGCGGCGCGCGUGCGCUCGAAGAGGACGACGUCGCCGGCGUCGAGGCGCUUCUCCUUGACGUAGCGGCUCCAGCCUUUGGUGAGCACGUAGCUCUGGCUGCUCGUCCAAUAGGAGUAGCGGAAGCACCAGGGCUUCCCCGACUCGUCCUCGAAGCUCAGCAGCAGGUCCUUGUCGCACGCCUCCGACGCCAGAGGGAAGUGCUUCUCCGCGUGCUGCUUCGGGAUCACCAGCCGGUUCAGCUUCCCCACGUCGCUCGGCGUCAGCGGCUUCUCGAACAGGCGCUCUCUGCACUGUGUCUGUGCAUGGUACUGCUGGGGGUUCAUGCUCAUGGCCUGCGCGUAAUUAGGGAGAGGUGGUUGCUGCUGGUGGUUGGCGGGCAUGGUGGUUAGGGGGAGAGAUCGAGCUAGGGCCGAGGAAUGGUGGAGAUGAUGGGUAUAUAUGGUGUUCAUCAGAAGCAUAUAUGUAGAUAUUAUAUAUUGUGUUGCAUUUACAACCUCUCAAGAAAUGAGGGGAACUUGAAAUAAAAAAAAAAAACCCUUUAUUAAUAUACAGUUAGGAGAAAGAAGAAUAAUGCCGAAGAAUUAACUAGACAUGUAGUAGAUACUAUAUCGAUCUCUAUGUAAAUGUGUGUGUAUAUAUAUAUAUAUAUAUCCUAGAGAGAGAGAGAGAGAGAGAGAGAGAGAGAGAGAGAGAGACCUGGUGAAUGUUUAUCUAUAUUAAUGAAUUAUUAUAUAUAUUAUAUUAUAGAGAACUGUAGGUGGACAGGGAGAAUCAAGGGGUUUAAAGUGUGUAAAAUUAAUUACUAUAUUUAUUUAUUCUAGGGCGGGUGACGAUCGAGGGGGGUUUGAUGAUCAGGCGAGGGUACAUACAAAUUAAGAGAGUGGUGCAUGCCUGACGUGGGCUCAUCCUAGCCGUCCAUUCGGGAGUGCAGAUACAUGUGGGUUGUUGGGAGCUCGAACUCGUGCCUGCAGUGAAACCAGUAGCUGGUACACCUGACUCACUGGCUCUGGUCAUAAUUUGAAAAAAAAAAAAAAAAAAGAGAAAAAAAGGCAAAGAGCUGUUCAUGAAGCAUGUCCUUUAUAAUAGUGCUCAAAUAAUUCGAAGAGAAUUAAACUAUUGCCUCGACCUAUUGCAUCUGUACAUCCCAUGCACUGUUCCAUAUUAUAAUUCGAAGCACUUCUUGAUCAAUUAGAUAAGCUAUAUUAUUACUUCACAUUUUGGAUCAACACAAUAAUUAUCUUAAUUCUAGUGCUUCUUUCUAUUUUUCUUGCUGUGAUAGACAUUAAAAUGAGCAUUUAAUUAGAUGUCAAAUCCAUAAAACUCUAGUUCGGAAUUCAUUUCAAACUCAGUGUACACUUCUGAUUAAUUGGCAAGAUGCCGUCAGCAACUUUUAACAAGAAAAAACAAGAAGAAGAAAAGUUAUUAAAAAUUCUCUAAAUAAUUUUUUUCAAUACUUUUGCCAGAACCUUUAGCUAUAGCAGCUUGUAAUUAACAUGCCCUAGGUGCUUUUCCUUAUCGUAGAUUUUUUUUUUUUUUUUUGUAUUAAAAGAAAGAAGUUCUACAAAGACUAUGGCAUCAUCUGAGCAAUUAAUGUACGCGGUACACACAUUCAAAGUGACAUUUGAAAUAAAUAGCAGGUGUAUCUAAAUCAAACAGCCUAUGGUACUGCUAUAUAUCCUACUUUGAUUUCAAAAAUUUGAGGCAUCUUAGCAAACUUCGUCCGCACAAUGCUAGCUAGCUUUCUUUUGCCAGUCAAAACGUCAGAGAAACUUCAUAACAAGUACGACAAUGAAGCCAUUGUUGAAUUCGGCACCUCACCCCUCCCCACUUUUAAAGUAUUGUACCUCAUAGAGUAGCUAGGGAGAGGUCAAAAACUUCUUAGCUUUAAUGGCUACAACCAGUUCACCGUUCCCACUCAGAUGCAGAUCCAGGUCAACUUGCUUUGGGUUAUUUAAUUUUCUGUACCAUGCACACCAAGGAAUUUUUGAUAAGUUUAGGAAUUAAAUAUUAAUUCCGAGAAGUAAUACAUUGGCCUAGUCUGGUAUUGCGGUGACGGCUGUAGUUGUCAUUAUAAUUUUUUAUCAUCGAAGAGAAAAUAUUGAAAUGCUUUUUUUUUUUUUAUAUUUUUUGAGUCUUCCAAUGUAAAAGUUGGUGUUUUUGGAAAUACGAUCCCAAACUAGCUAGAGUAAAUGUAUGUAUAUAUAUAUAGCGUGAAAUAGCGAUCAGAUGCAUAGUAAAGAUCAGAUAAUAAAAUUAAUAGAUUGAUGUAUAUAUGGCAUGGAAUCAAUAGAUCGAUCUAAUAUAAGAUGUCCCAGAAUAGUGUCCAACAACUGGCACAAAGCAAAUAUUGUAGGGUAUUUCUCACGUGGCACGGCAUUAACGUUCCUGCUUUUCUGGGUAUCCCAAGUUCACAGCACUUAAAAAGAGGAGAUAUUAUAAAAAGGAAAUAAAAAGGAAAUGGGAUCAGAUAGGGCCAGAAGAGAUGGCCUCACUAUAUUCCAAUAAUUAAGCUGGAGAGGAAGAAGAUAAGAUCCUGCCCAAUUUCCCCUUUCUUUUUUAGCUUCUGUCGUGUCCAAUCCGAGAACCUCACAAAACUUCUUAAUUCCACCCCAUAUAUGUAUAAAUUCCCUUUUUUCCACUGUUCUCUUUGUAUGUAUUUGAGUUUCUCCUCCUCUUUUAACUAAUCAUUCAACCCACCACCUGCCCCUUUUUCUAUGGCAUAUACGACACAACAACUGUAGACCUAGCUCUCGGUGGACCACCUUUUGUCUAAGUUUUUUUUUUUUUCUUUUUUAUUUUCCCCCCCCUCCAUGCAUGUACAUCAAUGAAUGGGUAUGUUAUGAACAUUGAAUAUGUAUGAGAUAAAAGAGGAUGGCCUUGUUAUUGAGAUGAGAAAACACACGUAAAUGUUAAAUAUAAAAAAAAAUAACGAUUAUUUCAUAUUAUUUAUUAUCAGUAAACACACUCAUUUUAUUUAAUCAAAGAACUUUUGUUAUAAGGCUAAGUAUCCUCAAAAAUUAUGUAAUUCGAGGACUUGCUCCAUUUUUUUCUUUUUUUUUAUUUUUUAAAAAAUAGCAUGUUAUCGUUUCAUUAAAAAAAAGUUGAACUAGAAAAAAAAUUAGAAAAUUAUUUAAUUACUAUAAGAAAAGUAAACAUCCAAAGGAGUUCACAGAAGGGCAAAAAAGAAAAGGAGAAAAAGAAGUUUAACAGCUGCAGAAUUUUUUAAAAAAUAAAUAAAAAUUAUUAUUCCUACCAACGAAACUAACCGUCGAAAAUAUAACAAAAGAGGUAGAAGGGCUUCGAGUAAAAUCAAGAGUAGAUUGAAUAACUGCAGAGUGAGGACUCAGGUACAACUUAGUCAUACAAAUUAUUGCACUGCAUGCAUAAAUCUCGACUUCUAUUCAGGUUAGUCAAAAAAGGUGGCCACAUAUUAAUGUCCACUAUAAGUCGCACUUUUUGGUUGCCAUUAAGAAGGCUCGGAUUGAUAAAGGAUGGUUAUCCAAAGCGCUUUUGAUUAAGUCCUCGGAAAACUUAUUUACAAGACAUUCUAUCCAUUGAAUUGUUGUAUAUAUGUAUAGAGUAGAGCUAGAAUACUUGUAAAAGUAUCACCCAAGUGAUACUUGUGUGUUUUUAGCCCUUGGAUGGAGAGAUGUGAGGUUGAGAUGAUGGUGGUAGGUGGUGGUAGAUGGUGGUAGGUGGAAUAGUGUUUGAUCCAAGGACUAUUAGUAAUCAAAAAAUAGAUCCAAUGACUAAAAACACACAAGUAUCACUUGGGUGAUACUUGUAAAAGUAUUCUAGCCUUACUCUAUAUGUGUAUAUAUAUAUAGUAUAUAUGGACCGCAACUCAAUUUAAUUUUUCUGCACCGGCCGUCCCUAGAAUAAGUGGCAAAGGGCUUGGUGGUUGGUACCCGAGACCCAAGUUCGAAUCCUAGUUGAUUCAAAUUUCUAACUAAGUUUAUUUUUAAAUAAGAUAAAUGAAGCGGGUAGCAUGCUAUCUAUUUCUUAAAAAAAAAAAUUUAAUUUCUUUGCUAAAUGUUUCUAAAAAUUGAGUAAUAAAGUUAUCUACAACCUUUUUCUUUCUUUCUUUUUCACUCUUUAUUUAUAGUUUUUUUUCUUUUGUGAGAAAAUCCGUAGGUUGUUUAUUAGCAAAUUAAAAGUACAUAAAAAAUGACAAAGAGUUAGAUAAUAGAUGAAUAUGAUCGUAAAGUUGUAUUGGCAUGCAAUAUUAAGAGUAUCUGUAUUUUAAUCUCUUCUAACAUAGGAGAUAGUAAUAUUUGGAUGCAAGUAUAAUAAAUUUCUACGGUCGCUAAUGAGAGGAGCAAAGGGCCCAAUUUGACGACAGUGUGUUAGUAGAAAGAAUAGUAGAAAUUUGAUUCCAAGCAUAAGUGAAGUAUUGCCCACGCCUCUACGGUCCGGCAUGUGCGUGUGUGGCGGACCUGUUUCUUUUUGUAACAGUUGGAAUGUGGACUUGCGUGUAGGAACUGGUCCAGCCCCUGCUCACUAGAGUCGUAGAUAGGUCCCCCUCCCUAUAUAUAUAUAUAGGACUCGGCGUGCUAUUCUCCUCAGGGCCCACCAAAUCCGUGGCCCGUGGGGUGAUGCUACUAUGACCCGCGUGUCUCGAUCGCCACUACGGCGACGUCGGCGAUGGCCCAUUCACAAUAAUUUCAUUGGGUCGUGCAUCAUGUAUAGCUUAAAAAUGCAAACUCCAUGGAUUCAGAAGAAGCGGGAGGAGUUUUUCAUCUAUAUGCCCUCUCUCCAUUUUCUUAGCAAGCCGGAAGUCGAGAAUUGAUUUUUAUCUCUAUGUACCACUCUAUUUAAGGCAGGCCUUGACGAAUUUUUCGCAAAUCGAAGCAGAACAAGAAAAAAAAAAAAAAAAGUCUUUGUCUCCAACUUUAUUUCCUCAACUAAUCAAGACGGAUUCGGAACAGAUCAUUUAUUUAUUUUUAUUUUUUAUCCUCAUUUAUUGCUCCAUCAGUAAUUCUUGUCCGUUAUCGACUGUCUCUAGCGCAAGUGGCAAAGAGCUCGAUGGUUUUUACCCGAAAUUCUAAGCUCAAAUACUAAUUGCUUCAUAUUUUCAAUUAAAUUUAUUUUUUUCAAAAAAUUGAAACAAGUGGUAUACUACUAUCUUUCUUUA
rnacentral:lncRNA from 1 species